AGAAUGCUAGUCAGCGCUCCCCAGCCAAAGGGGAGUGCGGCAUACAGCUCAGNAGCACGUGGCUAACCUGCCCUUGGGACAGGGACAACCCCGUGGAAACUGGGGCUAAUCCCCAAUAGGCGAAGGCUUCUGGAAUGAACUUUCACCCGAAAGGAUACCUACGCUAUGCUCGUAGGCUUCGCCCAAGGAUGGGGCCGCGACCGAUCAGGUUGUUGGUGAGGCAACGGCUCACCAAGCCUAUAACCGGUGCGGGCCGUGGGAGCGGGAGCCCGGAGAUGGGCACUGAGACAAGGGCCCAGGUCCUACGGGGCGCAGCAGUCGCGCAACCUUUGCAAUACACGCAAGUGUGACAGGGCUAUCCCGAGUGUCGUCCGCUGAGGAUGGCUUUUACCCAGUCUAGAAAGCUGGGGGAAUAAGGAGAGGGCAAGUCUGGUGUCAGCCGCCGCGGUAAUACCAGCUCUCCGAGUGGUGUGGAUGUUUAUUGGGCCUAAAGCAUCCGUAGCUGGCCAAGUUAGUCCCCUGUUAAACCCACCGAAUUAAUCGUUGGCGUGCGGGGGAUACUGCUCGGCUAGGGGGCGGGAGAGGCAGACGGUAUUUUCGGGGUAGGGGUGAAAUCCUAUAAUCCCGGGAAGACCACCAGUGGCGAAGGCUGUCUGCUAGAACGCGCCCGACGGUGAGGGAUGAAAGCUGGGGGAGCGAACCGGAUUAGAUACCCGGGUAGUCCCAGCUGUAAACGAUGCAGGCUAGGUGUUUGGACGGCCACGUGCCGUUCUAGUGCCGCAGGGAAGCUGUUAAGCCUGCCGCCUGGGGAGUACGGGUCGCAAGAUUGAAAACUUAAAA
rnacentral:rRNA from 1 species